GUACUUAGAAAAAUCAGAAUUUUGUUCAAAGUUGUUCAAAUGAAUUAAUUCAAGGAUGGUUAAUUUUUGAUCUGAAGUUAUGGGGUAUUUAUACUCCAUGAAACAUCCUUUCAGAUUCGUGGCCAUUGAUCCAAAAGGUUUGAUGAAAAAUUACAAUGUUCUAGAGGCAUUCCAGAUCUGAAAAAUUGUAAUGUUUCCAGGUGUAUUCGAAUACAGUAUAUGUGUAUUCGAAUACACGUCUUUGUAACGUUCAAAAAUUUCAAAUUUUACAUCUUGUAUUCGAAUACACAUCAGUGUAGUCGAAUACAGAUCAAUGUAUUUUAGCCUCUGACUUAACUUGUAUUCGACUACAUAUGAGUGUAGUCGAAUACACUUGGCUACUGACUUAGCAUGUAGUCGACUACAGAUGGGUGUAGUCGAAUACACUUGACCACUGACUUAGCUUGUAGUCGACUACAGAUGCGUGUAGUCGAAUACACCAUUUAAAGUUUUGCUU
rnacentral:lncRNA from 1 species